rnacentral:lncRNA from 1 species
ACACGAUGUGCUGAGGAAGCCAUGUGCAGAGCUUAAGGCUGACGGACAUGUGCUUUUGAAAACUACUGGACAUUUGUGGCCCAGGACUUCUCCCUUGAGGGACAACGUAAGGCUUUUGGUUCAAGUGGCCUUGGAAUCAUGGAAUAUCAGCAGGGAACAGAAACAGAGAGAUGAUCUAGGACAAAAUGGCUCUGGCUCGCUACCAUGCGGAUGGGAGCUGAUAACUGUUGCUGCAUUCCAACUCUUCCCUCUGUUUUCGAGGAUACUUCCGGUCUGUCUCCGGUCCAGACUCAGUGAGGAGGGAGGAAGAGUACCUGGGCAGAAGGGAAGAGCAUAAAGGCACAGCACCUUCGAAGUGACCCAGGUGUCAGGCCUUCUUGCCUCGGUGGCAU